UCUCUCUCUCUCUCUUCUUCUCUCUCUGUCUCUCCACCUCUCUCUCUCACCAGACAUUGGCAGGGCAAAGGAGAUCACUGUUGCCAGGAGAUUGUUUGCAUUCCCGGGUCUUUCUGGCAAGGCCUUCCUCUGAGUGGAGUCGAGUUGUGGAGCCUGGCAAGUCCAAGAUAAAGGAGCCAGCAGAUCCAGUGUCUGGCGAGAGGUUACUUCCUGCUUGCUUGUUUUGAUGAACAAGUGAUCACUCGGAGGCCCACAUAGACAGGAACUGAUGGCAGCCUCCAGCCAACAGUCAGUAAAAAAAGUGAGGCCCACAGUCCAACAGGCACAGGAAACUGAAUCCUGCCAACAACCAUGUGAGCUUAGAGGUGGAUACUUACCACUCAGCUUUCAGACGAGACCUCAGCCCUGGUUGACACUUUGAUUGCAGCCUCAUGAAAGACCUUGAAGCACCACCCCCAGUUAAGUCCUGCCUGGAUCCCUGACCCACAGAC
rnacentral:lncRNA from 1 species